rnacentral:rRNA from 1 species
AUUGAACGCUGGCGGCAGGCCUAACACAUGCAAGUCGAGCGGAUGAGUGGAGCUUGCUCCAUGAUUCAGCGGCGGACGGGUGAGUAAUGCCUAGGAAUCUGCCUGGGUAGUGGGGGACAACGUUUCGAAAGGAACGCUAAUACCGCAUACGUCCUACGGGAGAAAGCAGGGGACCUUCGGGCCUUGCGCUAUCAGAUGAGCCUAGGUCGGAUUAGCUAGUUGGUGAGGUAAUGGCUCACCAAGGCGACGAUCCGUAACUGGUCUGAGAGGAUGAUCAGUCACACUGGAACUGAGACACGGUCCAGACUCCUACGGGAGGCAGCAGUGGGGAAUAUUGGACAAUGGGCGAAAGCCUGAUCCAGCCAUGCCGCGUGUGUGAAGAAGGUCUUCGGAUUGUAAAGCACUUUAAGUUGGGAGGAAGGGUUGUAGAUUAAUACUCUGCAAUUUUGACGUUACCGACAGAAUAAGCACCGGCUAACUCUGUG